UCCUCUUCAACGCUGCGUUUCUAUGCUACAAACGGAGAGAUUCGAGCGCAAGCACGAAUCUCUCAUUACUGGCAUAUGAGAAAUUCGGAGUAACUUCUUCACACCACUUACCCAAUGUCGCCUGCCCAGUGCGGGAUCGACGGGUCUGCCCGCGAGGGUCUGGCGUGACUUCACGUCUGCAAUUGGCAUCAGAAAAGCAGGGCCUGGGCCGCCCUCAUGCAUACCUUGAGUUCCUCUUGGGGGACGAUGGGGAAGAUGAGGGUUAAUGGACUCGGUGUCCCUAUGGGAGAGCCGUUGCGAAAAGAUUGUGCAGAGCACUUGAGUGCGAUACGCAGCGUCUGGACCCUGGCUGGCCUCGGCCUGUCAGGGACUUGACAAUUCAAUUCCGAUCAUUCUGUUGAGGA
rnacentral:RNase_P_RNA from 2 species